AGGUCUGCGCCUCCGGCCUGCGGGAUCGAAGGGAAAGGAAUCCGAUCCGGGGAGGCAAGCCUGGGAGACGUCCUGAAUGAACUGGGAUUUCUUGGAGAAGUGGUAGAGCCAAGCUCUGGAACCGGAAAUACGCAAGGUGAGGCUGGAACACGUUGUCAAAUCAGAAAACAAGAGGCUUCGGGCAUGUGGGCAUGUCCAAAGGACUAAAGAACCAACCUGAAUAAGCUCCCUCUGGCCAAAGAUGGACUUAAUGAGCAUCAUCAUGGUAAUAAUUGUAAUGGAUUAGGGCCAGGUGCAGUGGCUCAUGCCUGUAAUCCUAGAACUCUGGGAGGCAAGGCAGAAGGAUCACUUGAGCCCAGGAGUUUGAGACCACCCUGGGCAAAAUAGUGAGACCUCAUCUCUACAAAAACCUUAACAAUUUAGCUGGCUUGGGCCGGCUGUGGUGGCUCAAGUCUGUAAUCACAGCGCUUCGGGAGGCCGAAGCAGGUGGAUCACCUGAGGUCAGGAGUUGGAGACCAGCCUGGCCAAAAUGGUGAAAUCCCGUUUUUACUAAAAAUACAAAAAUCAGCUGGGCAUGGUGGCGGAUGCCUAUAAUCCCAGCUACUCGGGAGGCUGAGGCAGGAGAAUCGCAUGAACCUGGGAGGUGGAGUUUGCAGUGAGCCGAGAUCAUGCCACUGCACUCCAGCCUGGGUGCAACAAGAGUGAAACUCCGUCUCAAAAAAAAAAAAAAAAAAAAAAAAAAAAAGAACUGGCUUGAUGUGCAUUCCUGCUCCCAGCUACUCAGGAGGCUGAGGUGGGAGGAUGGCUUGAGCUUGAGAGGUUGAGGCUUCAGUGAGCCAUGAUCGCAGCACUGUACUCCAGCCUGGGCAUGAGAGCAGGAUUUUGACUCAAUAAUAAUAAUAAUAAUAAUAAUAAAUAAAAUGUAAUGGGUUGAAACCUGUCAAACACAUUUAAAUGCUUGAGUUCAUUUUAAUAUUUUUCAUUAUCUUGAAAACUGGAUAAACAAGGAGAAGGAAUCAAGCAUUUAUCUUGACUGUCCUAUAUGAACUGGAUAGCCAGACAGUAGAUGAGGGCAAGUUAUUCUUUUUUUUUUUUUUUUUUGAGACGGAGUCUCGCUCUGUCGCCCAGGCUGGAGUGCAGUGGCGGGAUCUCGGCUCACUGCAAGCUCCGCCUCCCGGGUUCACGCCAUUCUCCUGCCUCAGCCUCCCAAGUAGCUAGGACUACAGGCGCCCGCCACUACGCCCGGCUAUUUUUUGUAGUUUUAGUAGAGACGGGGUUUCACCGUUUUAGCCGGGAUGGUCUCGAUCUGCUGACCUCGUGAUCCGCCCGCCUCAGCCUCCCAAAGUGCUGGGAUUACAGGCGUGAGCCACCGCGCCCGGCCGAGGGCAAGUUAUUCUUUAUAAACUUAUUCCAUCAAUCAAUAAAGAUAAAGGAUAGAAUUAGAAAAUCAUCACCAUUUAUCACCACUGGCCCUCCCCAGCAUAUUAAUGGAUCUACUCAUUGAGUAUCAAUAUCUGUUGUCAUCAAAAGAAAGAGAUGGCUGGGCAUGGUGGCUCACACCUGUAAUCCCAGCACUUUGGGAGGCAGAGGUGGGAGGAUCACUUGAGGCCAUGAGUUUGAGACCAGCCUGGGCAACACAGCAAGAUCCCCAUCUCUACAAGAAAAUAAAAAUAAAUAAAAAAUAAAAAGAGAGCCAGGCACGGUGGCUCACACCUGUAAUCCCAGCACUUUGGGAGGCUGAGGCGGGCAGAUUUCUUGAGUCCAGAAGUUUAAGACCAGCCUGGCCAACAUGGCAAAAUCUCAUCUCCACUAAAAAUACAAAAAAAUUAGCUGGGCAUUGUGGGGCACACUUGCAAUCUCAACUACUCAGGAGGCUGAGGUGGGAGGAUCGAUUGAACCCAGAAAGCAGAGGUUGCAGUGAGCUGAGAUCGCACCACUGCACUCCAGCCUGGGCAACAGAAUGAGACUCCAUCUCCAAAAAUAAAUAAAUAAAUUAAUUAAAAGAGAGGCAGCCAGACAUUAUGAGUCUCCUGGUUAACACACCAGCACCUAUAGUUUUGCCAAACGGAUUGACCCUGAAUUUGAUCAUGCCUCUGGAUCCAGCUGCCAAUUUGCGGAAAUAGAGGACAGAGGAACUUACUGAACUGCAUCAUGAGUAUGCAGUCAUCCAAAUCUGGACUGUGGGAAACUUGACAGGUCAAACAGCCCAGAUUCUUCUACAGAUAAGUUGUAAGAAAAAGAAAGGGACAGAAGAGGAAACUUCAGAUUAGAAGAAAUCUUAUACCCAAUGAUGUUGAGGUGAGAAGAAGAGGAGUAGGAGGACUGGGAGGAGGUGGAGGACAAGAAGGAUAAGGAAGAAGAAGAACCUUAAAAUGAAUCAGAUUUUUGGCCAGGCAUGGUGGCUCAUGCCUGUAAUUCCAGCAUUUUGGAAGACUGAGGUGGGCAGAUCGCUUGAGGUCAGGAGUUCAAGAGCAACCCGGCCAACAUGGUGAAACCCCAUCUCUACUAAAAAUACAAAGAUUAGCCGGGCAUGGUGAUGUGCACCUGUAAUCCCAGCUACUCGGGAGGCUGAGGCAGGAGAAUCGCUUGAAUGCAGGAGGUGGAGGUUGCAGUGAGCCGAGAUUGUGCCACUGCACUCCAGCCUGGGCAACAGAGUGAGGCUCCGUCUCAAAAAAAAAAAAAGUAUCGGAAUUUUUAAAAUAAGCAAGACUAAACUAUAGUGUAUAGAAAUGCACAUGGGAGAUAAAACCAUAAAGAAACAAGGAGUGAUUAUUGAAAGUGUCAGGUUAGUAACAGUCACUUUUGGAGUGGGGCCGGGGUGGGGCUGUGAUUGGGAUGAUGCACACAGAGGGACUUCUGGGUGGGGAGGGCCUGGCAAAGUUCUAUUUCUUGACCAGGGGUUUGGGGUGUUCAUCUUGUAACUCAUCAAGCUUGUGGUAAGGGACAGGUAAGUCUGGAGGCAGAGAAGACAGAGACUGGGUGACAUGAGGGUUGGGGAAAAUGGAGCAAAACAGAGAUCAAGUGCCUUCUAGCUAGGGAUGGCCACAUGACUAUGUUCUGGCCAAUGGGAUAGGAGCACAAGAAGCAAUGCAGCUUCCUCAUCAUACUUUUCUUUUUUUUUCCUUUUUUUUUUUUGUUUUUUGAGACAGAGUCUUGCUCUGUUGCCCAGGCUGGACUGCAAUGGGGUGAUCUCAGCUCCCUGCAACCUCCACCUCCUGGGUUCAAGUGAUUCUCCCACCUCAGCAUCCUGAGUAGCUGGGAUUACAGGUGCUUGCCACCAUGCCCAGUUAAUUUUUGUAUUUUUAGUAAAGACGAGGUUUCACCAUGUUGGCCGGGCUAGUCUCGAACUCCUGACCUCAGGUGAUCCACCCACCUCGGCCUCCCAAAAUGCGAUUACAGGCAUGAGCCAUUGUGCCCUACCUGUUUUACCUGGUUUUCUAUAUCAGUGUUUUGUUUUACAAUAAAAAUGGAGGUUUUUGUUGUUUUGUUUUUAUUGUAUAUAUUUAAAGUAUACAACAUGAUAUCUUGAUAUACAUAUACAUACAGAAAUGACUACUAGGGUCAGGCAAAUUAACAUAUCCAUCACCUCACAUAGUUCUGUGCGUGUGUGUAUCUAAAAGAGCACCUAAAAUGCUCUCUUAUCAAAUUUCCAGCAUGCAAUACAACAUUACUAACUGUAGUCCUCUGUACAUUGAGAUGUCUAAACUUACUUGCAUGGAUGAACCUAGGAGGCAUUAUGCUAAGUGAAAUAAGCCAGACACAGAGAGAAAAACACUGCAUGAUCUCAUUUAUACAUGGAUUUUUUUUUAAGCUAAAUAUAAAGAAACAGAGUGUAAAACAGUGGUUACCAGGGGCAGGGCAUGGUGGGGAAGAAUGAGGAGAUAGAGGUCAACAGUACCAUAAAAAGUUUUAAACAAAAGUAUCCAUCAAGAAACAAAAAACAACCAAGAAACAACUAAAAUAAUUCUUUCUCUUUCUAGCCAUUGUAACUACAAAACACAAAGUGAUUUUUUACUGGCUUUUCCUGUUUCUUCCCUUUGACAUUGGUGCUCCCCAAGAUGAGAUCUUUGGCUCUCUUUUCUUGUUUCUUCUUGUUUCUCUUUUUCACCAUGGAGUUGUCAUCCACCCCCAAGAUUUUAACCACCCCUGAAAUCUGUGUCAUUGCUCCUCUGCUGAGUUCCUGAUCCACACUGUCCACUGUUUCUAGACAUAUCCCCAUGGAUAUCUCUCAGUCAGCUUAAAGUUAAUGCAGCCUAAUAGCAAAAAUAAUAAAUCAAGGUUUCUCAAGUGCCUACACUGUGCCAAGUACUAUUCCAGGUACGUCUCACAUAUUAUCUUAGUCUUCACCACACAUAAUGUGCCAUCAUUAGCCCAGUUUUACAGAUAUCAAACUGACACACAGAAAGGUCAAGUAGUAGCUCACCCUUAUCUUAGCUUGUUUUCUGAAUUCCCAUAUCUUCAGGGAUCUCCAGCUCCAUGAAUGGUAUCUCCAUCUCUUCAGGUGACUGAGUUGGAAAUCUUGGCUUCACUCCACCAAUGACCUGAGUCAUUCUUAGAAAGUCUGAAGAAGGAGCAUGCAGCUCUGAGGGUGGCAGCAGGUCCAGGAAUUGGAAUGUGACCACAGGGGAAUUCUUCAUAAAGGGCUGAACUUUACUGGAUGAGUUUCCCCUGGAAUACCAGGAAGUCAUAUGAAAUCACAGUUUAGGAAGUGCAUUCAACAGUAUAUGGCAGACAUCAUUUCGUGUUAAUAAAUAUAUCCAGCCCUGAACCCCAACACUCCCAAUUCUCCUUAUCUGCCCUGUUUAUUCCCUAGGACUUACCACUUUCUAGCACUCUAUGUAAUUGAUUUAUUUGUAUGUUUAUUGUCUGUCUACUAGAAUGGGGGCUCCAUGAGGGCAGAGGUUUUUGUCUGUUUCUUCACUGAUGUAUCCCCAGUGCCUAGAAUAAUGUGUGAUACAUGGUGGGGGUUCAAGUAAUACUUGCUGAAUGAAUGGAUCCACAUCCUCACUUUCAAUGGCUGCAUGGCUUACACACAGGCGCAUAUAUAAGCAUGUAUACACACAUACACACACAUGCACAUGUCUUGAAGACAGAAGUCUAUUCCUAUCCCACCACAGUCCAGAUCUUCAUCAAAGAAGAAAGCAGUUCCCUAAACACUACGCACUCUUCCAUCAUACACCAUGCAGGUUAAAGGGAGUGAGAUACCAGGCCCUGUCCACAACACAUAAGCCCCAUACCUCACCCCACAGAACUGUUGUGUUCAGCUCCCUCUAAAGCUGCAGAACUAGCGGCUCAGACCACAAACUCUGGGGCUAGGAUGACUGGGUUGGCCACUGACUAGCUGUGUGAUCUUGGGAAAAUUACUUAUCCUCUAGGAACCUCAGUUUUGUCAUCUGUCAAAUAUAAGAAAUACCUACUUCAUAUAAUUGUGACAGUUUAAAAAGCUAUUAGGUUCCAGAUGAGAUGGAGUAAGCACCCUCCACCCUGUCUCUUCCACUGAAUGCUGCUGUGAAACAUGGACAGACAUGCACAGGGCAGCUCUCUGAGAAGUGUGAAACUAAAAACAGCGGGGAAACGAGGGAAGAAAGCCAGAAGUCAGCGUUCCACUGAGCUGAAGCAAGUUUCUCAUUUUCUCUCUGAUAUUCCCCAGCCUGGAUACAAGACAGCCCCAAAUCCAGAAUGGGCACUGGGGCGACGAGAAAGAUCAACAGGGCCGGGCGCAGUGGCUCAUGCCUGUAAUCCCAACACUUUGGGAGGCUGAGGCAGGUGGAUCACCUGAGGUCAGAAGUUCAAGACCAGCCUGGCCAACAUGGCGAAACCCUAUCUCUACUAAAAAUACAAAAAUUAGCCAGGCGUGGUGGCAGGCGCCUGUAGUCCCAGCUAUGUGGGAGAGUGAGGUAGGAGAGUCACUUGAACCCAGGAGGCGGAGGUUGCAUUGAGCCGAGAUUGUGCCACUGCACUCCAGCCUGAGCGACAUGGUGAGACUCCAUCUCAAAAAAUAAAAAAAAGAAAGAAAGAUCAACAGGGGAAGUGCUGGCUCUGCCUCGAGGAGUGGAAAGGGAAGGUCUAGCACUGAGACAGAAGAGGAACUCAAUUUUUCUUUUCUUCAUUCUCCCGUGCUCCAGCCCCUAGACAAUUCCAUGAGAGUGACAGUGGUGAUGGUAGCAUUAGUGGCUGCAGGGUCCACAGACACCCAAAACUUUGAGGAACGGAAAUCUUUCCCCCUCUGAUUGAGAGCUGUGGGCCAGGGGCAGUGGAUCAUGCCUGUAAUCCCAGUACUGUGGGAGGCCAAGGUGGAUCACUUGUGGCCAGGAGCAGGAGACCAGCCUGGACAACAGACUGAGACUGUGUGUGUGUGUGUGUGUGUGUGUGUGUGUGUGUGUAUGUAUGUAUAUACAUUCAUACACACACAUACGUGUUUGCGUGUUUAUUUUUCAAAAGAGUUGUAGUCCCAAGAAGGAGAACCCCCAUAGCUUUCUUUUCUCUGUGUCUUCCUGCUGCCUGGCCCUGAACACGGACACAAUCAUAGGAAGUCUGCAGUAGAGCAGGAUAACUAAAGAAGAAAUGGCCGGGCGCAGUGGCUUAUGCCUGUAAUCCUGGCACUUUGGGAGGCUGAGGUGGGCAGAUUAUGAGGUCAGGAGUUCGAGACCAGCCUGGCCAACAUGGCGAAACCCCAUCUCUACUAAAAAUACAAAAAAUUAGCUGGGCGUGGUGGUGAGUGCCUGUAAUCCCAGCUACUCGGGAGGCUGAGGCAGGAAAAUCGCUUGAACCUGGGAGGCAGAGGUUGCAGUGAGCUGAGAUUGCACCAUUGCACUCUAGCCUGGGUGACAGUGCGCGCCUGUCUCAAAAAAAAAAAAAAAGAAAAAAAAGAAAAAGAAAUGACACUGAUUUUACACAAUCUCUUCCAGAAAAUAGAACAAGAGAAAAUACUCCCCAGUUCAUUUUAUGAGGUCAACAUUACCCUGAGACCAAAACUAAACAAAGGUAUUUUAAGGAAAAAAACUACAGAUCAAUAUCUCUCAUGAACACAGAUGUAAAAAUCUUCAACAAAAUAUUAGCUGGCCAGGCGCAGUGGCUCAUGCCUGUAAUCCCAGCACUUUGGGAGGCUGAGGUGAGUGCAGCACUUUGGGAGGCUGAGGUGAGUGGAUCACUUGGGGUCAGGAGUUUGAGACCGCCCAGGCAGGAGUACAGUGGUGUGAUCAUGGCUCACAGUAACUUCAAACUCCUGGGCUUAAGCAAUUCCCCUACCUCAGCCUCCUGAGUAGCUGAAACUACAGGCACUACCAUGUCCAGCUAAUUUUUAAAAAAAUUUUUUUAGAGACAGGGUCUUACUACGUUGCUCAGGCUGGUCUUGAACUCCUGGCUUCAAGUAAUACCUCUUGCCUUAGCCUCUCAAAGUGUUGGGAUUACAGGUCUGAGUGGCCCAGUCGGGCCUAAGAGUAUUAUUUUUCAAAUUGUAAGUGAAUUUUGAAUUUUUGUCACAUAGUUUUUCUCUAUCAAUCAAUAUCAUCAUUUGCUUUUUUUUUCCUUUUGAGACAGAGUCUCGCUCUGUCACCGAGGCCAGAGUGCAGUGGCGCAGUCUUGGCUCACUGCAACUUCUGCCUCCUGGGUUCAAGUGAUUCUCCUGCCUCAGCCUCCUAAGUGUCUGGGACUACAGGCAUGAGCCACCACGGCCGGCUAACUUUUGUAUUUUUAGUAGAGAUAGGGUUUCGCCAUGUUGGCUAGGCUGGACUAGAACUCCUGAUCUCAGGUGAUCUGCCCGCCUCGGCCUCCCAAAGUGCUGGGAUUACAGGUGUGAGCCACUGUGCCCUGCCUGAUCAUUUGCUUUUAAUUCUUUAGGCUGUUAAUAUGGUGAAUUACUAUGAUUGAUUUUUGAAUACUGAACCAGCCCUGUAUUGCCAGGAUAAAUCUCACCUGACUAUAGCAUUUUUUAAAAUACAUAUUCCUGAGUUCAAUUGGCUAGUAUUUUGUUUUUGUUUGUUUUUUCUUUUCUUUUCUUUUUUUUUGACAUGGAAUCUCACUGUCGCCUGGGCUGAAGUGCGGUGAUGCAAUCUUGGCUCACUGCAACCUCCACCUCCUGGGUUCAAGCUAUUCUUCCUCAGCCUCCCGAGAAGCUGUGAUUACAGGCAUGCAAUCCUGUCUCUUUAAAAAAAAAAAAAAAAAAAGACCAGGUGCAGUUGCUCAUGCCUGUAAUGCCAGCACUCUGGGAGGCUGAGGCUGGAGUAUUACUUGAGGCCAGGAGUUCAAGACCAGCCUGGGCAACAUGGCAAAAUCUCAUCUCUACUAAAAAAAUACAAAAAUUAGCUGGGUGUGGUGGCACAUGUUUGUAAUCCCAGCUGCUCGGGAGGCUGAGGCAUGAGAAUUGCUUGACCCUGGGAGGUGGAGGCUGAUGUGAGCCAAGAUCACACCCACUGCAUGCCAGUCUGGGCGACAGAGGGAGACCCUGUCUAAAAAAACAAAGUGUGAUACAGGUGAAAUGACAGAAUUACAGACAGCUAGGUCAAUGGGACAGAAUAGAAAGUACAGUAAUAGACCCAUGCAAAUAUGGCAAAUUGAUUUUUGACCAAAGUGCAAAGGCAACUGAAUGGAGAAAGGAUUCCUAGAAUCAUCAGACCUCUUGUGGAAAGAGAGCUUUACAAGAGUAAAAGCCCUGGAAGAAAUCACAAAGAGAAAGGUCAACAGCCUUGCCAGUAUAAGCGUUAAAACGGAUGUGCAUGUUAUAAAAGUGUAACUGAAAAAAAAAAAUUUUUUUUAAGUAACAAAGUUGGCCGGGCGUGGUGGCUUGCCUGUAAUCCCAACAAUUUGGGAGGCCAAGGCGGGUGGAUCACCUGUGGUCAGGAGUUCGAGGCCAGCCUGGCCAACAUGGUGAAACCCCGCCUUUACAAAAAAUACAAAAAUUAUCCAGGCAUGGUGGCACACGCCUGUAGUCCCAGCUACUUGGGAGGCUGAGGCAGGAGAAUCGCUUGAACCAGGGAUGCGAAGGUUGCAGUGAGCUGAGAUCGCGCCACUACACUCCAGCCUGGGUGAUAGAACGAGACUCCCUCUCAAAACAAAAAAUUAAUAAUAAUAAAGUAACAUAAAGUAAAAUUGACUCUUUCGUUGGUGUACAGCUUUAUGAGUUUUAACACAUGUAUAGAUUCCUAGAGCCAACAAUGGUGUCUGAAUAGUGGACAUUCAUAUACAAAAAGAGAACUUCAACCUAAACAUCACAACUUAUACAAAAAUUAGCUCAAAAUGGAUCAUAUAUCUAAAAGAAAUGUAAAAUGAUAAAACUUUUAGAGAAAAGUAGGAGAAAAUCUUCAUGACCUCAGUUUAGGCAGAGUUCUUAGGCUGGACACCAAAACCAUGAGUUACAAAAGAAAACGAUUGAUAAACUGGACUUCAUCAUAAAUAAAAACUUUUGUUCUAUAAAAGACAAUGUUAAGAAAAUGAAAAAACCAGCUACAGACAGAAAGAAAAUAGUUGCAAAUCACAUACUCAACAAAAGACCUGUAUUCAGAAUAUAUAAAGAACUGAAAGCACAGAUCGGAUCACCUCUCUUUGCCAGGCUAACUCUAAUUUAUCCUCAAUUCAGCUCUCCGGGGAAGCUUACCUGACCACUUCACCUGCUUUGGGUUAGCUGCCACCCCUGAGUACUCCAGGGCAGUCAACCCUGUCUCAGAGCAGAGCUGAAAUCAUGUUGUGAUUUCUUUGUAUUUCCAUCCCCAUGAACCAUAGGCUCCUUGACAUUUUAUUGUUUUGAUAAUCUCCAUGGCCAGCACAGAGAUAUUGAACACAAAGUAGAACUCAAUAACUUUUUUUUCUUUUUAGUGGCUGUUAUAUUUCCUGGUUAUCUAGUUGUUUUUUUUUUUUGUUUUGUUUUGUUUUUUUUUUUUUUUUUUUGAGACAGAGUCUCACUCUGUCAUCCAGGCUGGAGUGCAGUGGCACCACCUCGGAUCACUGCAACCUCUACCUCCUGGGUUCAAGUGAUUCUCCUGCCGCAGUCUUCUGAGUAGCUGGAACUAUAGGCGCCCAUCACCACGCCUGGCUAAUUUUUGUGUUUUUAGUAGAGACGGGUUUUCACCAUUUUGGCCAGGGUGGUCUCGAACUCUUGACCUCAGGUGAUCCGCAUGCCUUGGCCUCCCAAAGUUCUGGGAUUAUAGGUGUGAGCCACUGCACCCAGCCUCAGGCAAUCCUCUUGCCUCAGCCUCCCAAAUAGCUGGGAUUACAGGCACACACCACUGUGCCUGGUGUCUAAUUUUUUUGAGGAACUGGCAUACCAUUUUCCACAGCUGUUGCACCAUUUCACGUUCUCAGCAGCAAUGCACAAGGAUUCCAAUUUCUUCACAUCCUCGCCAGUAUUUCUACAAUAUUUUUGGUUAAUUUUUAAUCUUUUGCUUUAAAUAUAUUUUCCCCAAAACUUCGUAGCUGUAGAUUCAGGCUCAUUCUAAUUGCGGAAAACGUCUACCAUAUAAACUACUGGAAAGUCCUAACUGGCAAACCACAUGGGCAAAACCGAUUUACUUUCUAUUGGGAAAGGUCUACAUUCAUUUUAUAUGUGUUUCCACAAAAACCUUCUGACUUCUCAAUUUUAAGACAGACACAGCUGUGCCACGAAUUUGCUGCCUGAAUGAAAUAAAAUACCACCAGUCCCAGUAUUUCUUCCUAGUGUCCUCUUUGCUUUACUUUCCAGGGGUUUUCUCUCAGGAUUGAUGGAUUACCUGACAGUGGUGAGAUGCAAGAGGUGAGGUCUCUAUAAGCAAAACCUGUUUCAAAUUGUCCCUGUAGUUGGCAACCCAGGAAGUUUUUAUACUUAGGUAUAUUGCACCACAUUAAUAUCUAAGAUGUGUAAGAAAUUCGUCUUUCAAGUGGGAGAAUAACUGUGAAGAGGGAUGUGAAAAUAAAACUCCGGAAGAGAAUGGAGGAAAAAAAAAUAGUGAAGAUGGCCAGGCACGGUGGCUCACGCCUGUAAUCCCAGCACUUUGGGAGGCCAAGGUGGGUGGAUCAUUUGAGGUCAGGAGUUCGACACCAGCCUGGCCAACAUGGUGGAACCCUAUCUUUACUAAAAAGACAAAAAUUAGCUGGGUGGUAGUGGCAUGUGCCUGUAAUCCCAGCUACUUGGGAGGCUGAGGCAGGAGAAUCGCUUGAGCCUGGGAGGCGGAGAUUGUGGUGAGCCGAGAUUGCGCCACUACACUCCAGUCUGGGUGACAGAGACCUGCCUCAAAAAAAAAGUUAGUGAAGUUGACUCUCUUAAAAGUAUACGUGCUCGGCUGGGUGAAUGGCUCACAUCUGUAAUCCCAGCAUUUUGGGAGGCUGAGGUGGGAGGCUCACUUGAGCCUCGGAGGUUGAGCCUGCAGUGAGCUAUGAUCAAGCCACUGCACUCCAGUCUGGGUGACAGAGCAAGACUCUGUCUCAAAAAGACCCAAACAAACAUAUGUGCCAUGUACCUCCUGGAGUCUUCAUUUAUCCUUAGGGGUGUCUGUACCCCAGUUUAAAGAUUGCUGCUGUAAUUUAUCAUCCCCACAACCAGACAUUAUUAUUAUAUGCAAUCUGUGUUUGCUUAGUUUCCCCCAUGUGUUCACUGAUUUCUUUGUUCACCAUUCUUGGAGAUCUGCUUUUAGUUAUUCUUUUUCUUCCUCUUGAAGUAUGUCAUCUUCUUGAAGUAAAGUCAGUCCCCUUUAGAACUGCCUUUGGUGAGGCUCUGUUAACAGUAAACUCAAUUUGUUUUCUGAAAAUAUCUUAAAAGUUGUCUUAAUUUCAAAAUUCAAAUUUUGCAUUCUAU
rnacentral:lncRNA from 10 species